UAGGGAAUCUUCCACAAUGGACGCAAGUCUGAUGGAGCAACGCCGCGUGAGUGAAGAAGGUCUUCGGAUCGUAAAGCUCUGUUGUUGGUGAAGAAGGAUAGAGGCAGUAACUGGUCUUUAUUUGACGGUAAUCAACCAGAAAGUCACGGCUAACUACGUGCCAGCAGCCGCGGUAAUACGUAGGUGGCAAGCGUUGUCCGGAUUUAUUGGGCGUAAAGCGAGCGCAGGCGGAAUGAUAAGUCUGAUGUGAAAGCCCACGGCUCAACCGUGGAACUGCAUCGGAAACUGUCAUUCUUGAGUGCAGAAGAGGAGAGUGGAACUCCAUGUGUAGCGGUGGAAUGCGUAGAUAUAUGGAAGAACACCAGUGGCGAAGGCGGCUCUCUGGUCUGCAACUGACGCUGAGGCUCGAAAGCAUGGGCAGCGAACAGGAUUAGAUACCCUGGUAGUCCAUGCCGUAAACGAUGAGCGCUAGGUGUUGGGGACUUUCCGGUCCUCAGUGCCGCAGCAAACGCAUUAAGCGCUCCGCCUGGGGAGUACGACCGCAAGGUUGAAAC
rnacentral:rRNA from 1 species